AAUUGGGAUAAUUUAUGGUGUCCUAAGUCACCGGUUUACAAUCUAGAAUCUAGGAAAUUUGACUCUAAUCACGGUCUGCGAACACAAAUAUCCAGGUAAGGAAAUUUGUUAACUCGGGAGAAGGUGUUAGGAAAUCUUGAGUUUCCUGGUUCUAGCACGGUCGCUUUGAUCAUACUGAGCUUAAUUAAAUUAUCUAAUUACUCAUUUUUAAACAUAUGUCCAUUUUCCUAUUUUAAUUAAGAAAUAACCUUGAAAACGGGUCACGCGCAUGUGUACCCAUUUGUUUAGCGUGUCAGCAAUCAUGUCAAACGAACGUGUCUACAAUUAGUAACGCUUUCUUAUUAAUAAGAACGUUUAGCCGAAGUUGCGUGAACGCAUACUUCGAUUUAUUUUAGGAUUGUAAUCAUGUCCCACGAAUGUGUACACUACCACGAUGGUUUAUUUAAUGUUCCAAAAGCAAGCUAAGAGUAUCAUUCUUAGAAUAGAAAUUAUAACACUUAAUAAGAGGGCCACAAGUGACUUAAUUAGGAUGACAGACCUCAAUUCAAAUAAAAGAGUUACAUUUACUUAGGACUAAGGGAUAUUACUACUUACAAAUGAAUUAAAAUUAAUGUAUAACUAUUAGCAAGAAGGUUUGGGGUACAUGCUAGGACCUUGAUUAUUUAAAGCCAAUCGGUUUGAAUUUAUACCCAAACAAAUUAUUGAAGAGAAAAACUAGUCUCAAUACGAACCCAGAAAUUUGGCGAGGUAGACGGCUGCCCCUUUCUAAGUGAGCCACAGUCCAGGCCCAAUCCAUUACUCACGAUAAGAUGUUUCUGGGGAGGAGUAAGAGCUUAGGGGUGUGGGGCCCGAAAUCAAGCCCAAAUAGAGGGGUGUUAAUAUCUGAGGCCUAUAGAAAACUGGCUGAGCCCAUCCAACUACAAUCAACAUGAGACAAUAUGAUAUGCAAGCCCCAAGUACACCAACAUCCAAAUAACCAUAUCAUACAUCUAAAAUAAACAUUGUUUUAUUAUCCAUGUUAGAAAAAUAAAUCUGGGAUUUAAAUUACUGAAUAAUUAUGCUAAAUUCACAAGUACAACUAUCCUAACAGCACGAAAAUCCUAAUCAAUUUAACUUGGAAAUAUAUAAUAGUCAUCAAACAUAUAACCUUUUCCACAAAUUAUAUCUCGUAAAGAGAGCUCUAAUAAUUAAGACUAGAUUCUAGAAGAAACUAAACAAACGGAAUCAUGACAUGAGCCAACCCUGCAUUGAGAAUCAACACCGACCUAUGUGUCAAACUAAAGAAAAAGAGAGUGAGUAUUUCAACAAUAGGAAGAAAACAGAAGCCAAGCAACAAAUCAACAGUAGGAUUCAACUUCUUUAAACCCUCUUUGGACCCAAAACACCAGAAACUCUAUGAAAAGGCUUUUAUGUACCCCAAGAAGAAAAUCAGGAAGCAAUUCGAGGAAGACUAAUGAAAGGAAUGCAGAGAAUUUAGGCUAUUUUUAAGGGUAUCAAUGUCUUAUUUAUUAAGCGAAAGAAUGGUCUAUGCAUAGCCUUUUAGGAAUGACAUGUGCUACCGAAAACAAUAUGAGAAUUAUUCCUUCUCAUCUUUCCAAACAGAAUUGGGACAACUAGCAGACUUUGAUUUGCUCCAACAUUUAUGCUAGCAAAAAUUGGACCAGUUGCCCCAAAUUCAGAGGAUUUCCUUCAUCAAAUGUGAUUUACUAUUUCUAAAUUAACCUAUAGAUUACUGAGUAUUGCAAUUCUUACCUACACUCUGAUUUCAAUUCAACUCUAUCUAUCUUAAGGACUUCUAGAAAGAACCAAGUGAUUCAGUUGCCUUAUUUUGCAAACCUACGGUAUUGGAUUUUAUUUUUAUAAAAUUGAACUAAGGUUUAGGUUUCAAUUUAGGGGUUAAAACCAAAUUAAAAAUUUAGCCAGCUAAUCCUAAAUAGCAAACAAAUUCCAGAAUGCUAGAUGCAAAGAAGCAUAAAAAUCAAAGCUGACUUAUUUCACCUAAGAAAAAUUGAAUCAAGGUAAAGCUAAAACAAUCACCUAUCAGCUAAAUAUUCAAUUGAUUUAACCUUUAAAACUAUCCUAAUUACCUGAACUGACACCGAAAAAACUUGCAUGAAAAAAAUAUGAAAGGAAAACCAAAGCAAACGGAUCAUCAGUACCAAAAUGUUAAAACUGAUUAAAUUUGAAUCUAGGCAAAAAGUAAAUUCCUAAUGAUGAAAUCCAAAGGCGUGCCAUUAACAGUCGAAGAAAAGAAGAUAAAACCUAAAUCAAACAGCUAAUUCAGGAACAAUUAACAUGAAAUGGAAUCAAACAAAAAGAAGGAAAAAUAAAGAAAAGGUAAAAGAAGUUACCAAACAGGACCAAUCAAGACGAAUCUUGGCCAACCUUUGAAAGGGUAAAAUGAACAUGAAGCUGUCAUUAACCGGCUGUUCUCAAUAAGAAUAGUUGAGAAUUUAAAUAUUAGGGUUCAAAUGACUAGGUUCUGACAAGACGACCAAAAUGGGUGCUAGAUUAGGGUUCAAUGGAUUCCAUAUUUGAAAUUGGAUGAAAUUUAGCUGCGGCUUUCGGCAAAUUAAUUGUAGUUUAGGUUUCAGGGGGUUGUGAGAAAUAUGAGGUGUGAUAUUGGGGCCAUUUGGGAGAUUUAGGUUUUCAGGAUUCCCAUCAUAGAUCUAAAUAUUCCAAGGGGUUGAUAAUGAUUUGGGGAAAAAUGGAUAAGAGAGUAGGAAAACUGAUGUGACACAAUUUAUGGGGUGUUAAUUCGAGGGUGUUUGGGUCACCGAAACCACCGUGAGGUGAUUUUAUGAGGUUGUUGGCGGCAGAGAGAGCGGGGUUUUUAGGGCAGUUGUCUUUAGGGUUUGUUUAGGCCAGAUGAAGGUGAGGGUUAGGGUUCGAGGAGGGGGGUGGCAAGCCUUCUGACGGUUUUAUAUUNN
rnacentral:lncRNA from 1 species